rnacentral:tRNA from 2 species
GGGCUGGUAGCUCAGUCUGGCAGAGCGUCUGGCUUUUAACCAGAUGGCCGGGGGUUCAAGUCCCUCCCAGCCCG